rnacentral:rRNA from 1 species
AUUGAACGCUGGCGGCAUGCCUUACACAUGCAAGUCGAACGGUAACAGGUCUUCGGAUGCUGACGAGUGGCGAACGGGUGAGUAAUACAUCGGAACGUGCCUAGUAGUGGGGGAUAACUACUCGAAAGAGUGGCUAAUACCGCAUGAGAUCUACGGAUGAAAGCAGGGGAUCGCAAGACCUUGUGCUACUAGAGCGGCCGAUGGCAGAUUAGGUAGUUGGUGGGAUAAAAGCUUACCAAGCCGACGAUCUGUAGCUGGUCUGAGAGGACGAUCAGCCACACUGGGACUGAGACAAGGCCCAGACUCCUACGGGAGGCAGCAGUGGGGAAUUUUGGACAAUGGGCGAAAGCCUGAUCCAGCAAUGCCGUGUGCAGGAUGAAGGCCUUCGGGUUGUAAACUGCUUUUGUACGGAACGAAAAGCCCCGGGUUAAUACCCUGGGGUCAUGACGGUACCGUAAGAAUAAGCACCGGCUAACUACGUGCCAGCAGCCGCCGUAA